AUUAACAACCUACUGUAUUCAAAUCUAAUGGAGGGUGGUGUAAUUUUGUGUUUUGAUAGGAGCAAAAGGCAGCUGAGGUCACUAAACCACGUGGCCCAUGGGAAACAAAGGGUGCCAAGGUGUUCGCAGCCAAGAGUAAAUUUGUCACAAAUGGAACAAGAAAAUAAAGACAUCCAACAGAUCCCAGAUCAGCCAAAAUGGAAGAUGCAGCCAUUAAUUAUGCAUGAUUUUGUAACUUCAGGUUACAUUGGAAAUCAAUCGACAACUUAACAGUACAAAAUAAAUAUUUUAUAAGUUCAAAAAUUCUUACAAUAGUACACAAAAAUGCCAUUAAAAUUAAACAUUUAAAUUUAUUACAAUUACCAUGAAUUGCACAAGCCCAAUAAUACAUAUUAAAGUAUUAGUAUCAAACAUUAUAAGCGA
rnacentral:lncRNA from 1 species